rnacentral:misc_RNA from 1 species
UUUAUAAAUACUUUUCCUUUCUAAGGGGCAUAAAAAUAAAGCAAAAUUUUCAGGAUUACCACACCUCACUGUCGUCUUUGUUUAAUUUCUGUUAACCCACAAAAAUGAGACUAUGACGACGCCGUCUCAACUCCCAGCACCCUUCGCAAGCCGCUCAUCCAAGUAUUCGAUGCGCGUGAUCUUCUUAAAGAUGGUCAGGGAAGCUCCAGUCCUUUUGUCAUCGCUGGUUUCGAUGGACAGAGGAAGCGAACCUCCACCAAGUAUCGGGACCUCAAUCCAAAAUGUGGAACGAGACGCUUGAGUUUAUUGUCUCUGACCCAGAUAACAUGGACUUUGAGGAGUUGGAAAUCGAGGUCUUUAAUGAUAAGAAGUAUGGCAACGGCAGCGGCCGGAAAAACCACUUUUUGGGCAGGGUAAAGUUGUACGGUUCUCAGUUUGUCAAGAGAGGAGAAGAGGGGCUCGUUUAUUUCCCUCUCGAAAAGAAGAGUGUUUUUAGCUGGAUUAGAGGCGAGCUCGGGUUGAAGAUAUGUUACUAUGAUGAGUUGGUCGUUGAGGACCAACAGCCUCCGCCUCCUUCAGACAAGGAUGCACCGCCACCACAGGAACAGCCCAAGUCUCCGGCGGUUGUUGUAGUGGAAGAAGGCAGACCUUUAGAUGGGCCUGCACAUCCUGAGAUUUCUCAUAGUCAUCGUUUUCCCGAUGGAUCUCACUUGCCUCCUGUUGUCGUUAUCGAGGAAUCCCCACCUCCUGUGGUGCAUGUUCACUCAGAGCCACCUGCUCCGGAACCAGCGAUGCCACCUUCAGAGGGUCUUUACAUUCCGGACAUGAGGAAGAUGCAGACUGCUAGAGUUGCUGCUGGUGGUGGCGAGAGAGUGAGAGUAUCAAGGCGGCCCGAUGAAGAAUACUCUCCAAAAGUGAUUUCCGGAAAAUUUACUAGUGAAACUGAGAGAGUCCAUCCAUACGAUCUCGUUGAACCAAUGCAGUAUUUGUUCAUCAGAAUAGUCAAGGCACGUGGUCUGUCACACAACGAGAGUCCAUACGUGAAGAUCAGGAUUUCGAAUCAUUCUUUAAGAACUAAACCCGCCAUUUACAGAGCCGGUGAGCCAACCGACUCGCCUGAGUGGAAUCAGGUGUUUGCACUGGGUUACAACAGACUUGACUUGACCAGUUCGACUUUAGAAGUCUCGGUUUGGGACUCGCCGGAGCAGUACCUGGGUGGCAUUUGCCUCGGUCUCUCUGAUGUUCUUGUGAGGGACCCACCUGACAGUCCAUUGGCUCCUCAAUGGUACCAUCUCGAGAGCAGCCCCGGUCAGAAUAGCUGUAGGGUCUCCGGUGACAUCCAACUAUCGGUCUGGAUCGGAACGCAAAAUGAUGACGCUUUCCCAGAGGCAUGGAUAUCUGAUGCACCGUAUGUCUCUCACACGCGCUCAAAGGUUUACCAGUCCCCUAAGCUCUGGUAUUUAAGAGUCACAGUUCUUGAAGCACAAGAUCUACACAUUGCUUCGAAUCUACCUCCAUUAACGGCUCCAGAGAUUCGAGUCAAGGCUCAUCUAGGAUUUCAAUCUGUAAGAAGUAGGCGAGCAUCCAUGAAUAAUCACAGUGCAUCGUUUCACUGGAACGAGGACAUGAUAUUCAUUGCCGGCGAGCCGCUGGACGACUGCCUUAUCUUGGUAGUGGAAGACCGUACAAACAAGGAAGCAAUAUCUCUCGGGCACAUAAUCAUUCCAUUGGGCUCGAUCGAGCAACGGAUAGAUGAGCGCCACGUGGCGGCCAAAUGGUUCCCAUUGGAGGGUGGAGCCAGUGCUGGACCCCAUUGUGUAGGUGGGUGCUACUAUGGGAGAAUAUAUCUCCGUCUCUGUUUGGAGGGAGGGUAUCAUGUGCUGGAUGAAGCGGCCCACGUUUGCAGCGACUUUAGACCCACGGCUAAGCAGCUAUGGAAGCCAGCUAUAGGGAUUUUGGAGUUGGGGAUUCUAGGCGCUCGUGGCUUGAUGCCAAUGAAACACAAUCCUUACAAAGGAGGCAAGGGAUCCACUGAUGCUUACUGUGUAGCUAAAUACGGAAAAAAGUGGGUCCGUACAAGAACCAUCACGGACAGUUUUGAUCCACGCUGGAAUGAGCAGUACACGUGGCAGGUUUAUGACCCUUGCACUGUCUUGACCAUUGGUGUCUUUGACAAUAGUCGUAUUUUUGCUGAUCCCUCUGGCUUAGAAGAAAAGUUCGAUACCCGUAUAGGCAAACUACGGAUACGAGUAUCGACACUGGAGAGCAACAAGGUGUAUACGAAUUCCUAUCCUCUGUUGGUUUUACAAAGAACGGGUUUGAAGAAAAUGGGCGAGAUAGAAUUAGCGGUUCGUUUCGCCUGCCCGAAUUUAUUGCCAGAUACUUGCGUCGUAUACGGUCAACCAUUGCUUCCUCGAAUGCACUAUCUCCGUCCACUUGGAGUGGCCCAGCAAGAGGCACUGCGUGGAGCUGCCACCAAAAUGGUUGCUUCUUGGCUUGGACGCGCCGAACCGCCAUUGGGCCAUGAGGUGGUUCAGUACAUGUUGGAUGCGGAUUCUCACACGUGGAGCAUGAGAAAAAGCAAGGCAAAUUGGUUUCGGAUCGUAGCUGUUCUUGCGUGGGCCGUUGGGUUGGCAAAAUGGUUACAUAAUAUCCGGAGAUGGAAAAACCCAGUUACGACAGUACUGGUGCAUGUUUUGUAUUUGGUGCUUGUUUGGUACCCGGAUUUGAUUGUUCCUACCGGGUUCUUGUAUGUGUUUUUGAUUGGUGUGUGGUAUUAUAGGUUCAGGCCCAAGAUACCAGCGGGUAUGGAUAUUCGGUUAUCUCAAGCGGAGACAGUUGACGCGGAUGAGCUGGAUGAGGAAUUUGAUACAAUUCCAAGCUCAAAACCACCAGAAAUAAUCAGGGCCAGAUAUGACCGAUUGCGAAUUUUGGCAGCCCGGGUCCAAACAGUCUUGGGCGAUAUCGCGACCCAAGGGGAGCGGGUUCAAGCUUUGGUGAGUUGGAGGGAUCCACGGGCCACAAAGUUGUUUAUAGCAGUGUGUUUGGCUAUAACAAUAAUCCUUUACGUGGUGCCACCAAAAAUGGUUGCAGUGGCCUUAGGAUUUUACUAUCUACGACACCCGAUGUUCCGGGACCCUAUGCCACCGGCCAGCCUGAAUUUCUUCCGGCGGCUUCCAAGCUUAUCGGAUCGGUUAAUGUAGAUUUGGUAGAGUGGAUAUAUAGUUAACAGAUAAUAGAAAUUAAAAUUUUUGGGCACCGAAUUGUGAAAGGUGAAAGUUGAAACAGCAUAAUAAAGGACUACUGUUUUUGGUUGAAAAGAGAUGUCCCUCUGAUGAACAGUGAGGUGUGAAAAAAAAGUAACUCAAGUUGACAUAAUGUGCCCUUUUUUCCCCUUUGAAUUGAUGGAUUACAGGCUGAAAACUUGGAAUAAGAGAAAGGAGUGGGGCCUGAGGCAGUUUGAAGCAUAAAGAGAAGAAAAUUUUAGAGCCAGUUAAGUGGGAGGGAAGGAAAGUUUAAACUUUGAAAUGUUACUUUUUCUAACUUAUAAAAAACCGCUAUUAUUUUUUUUAACAGUUUCAUAUUUCUUGUUUCUCAGCUGCUUUAAUUUUUGUAUGUGAAUGAGUUUAAUUAUAGUGCAUUCAGCUCUGCCAGCACUUCUCGCCUGCAAUAUUAAAAUGAAUUUCCCCCUCUUUUCUUAACUUUGGUUGCAGUCAGUCAUUGGCUUAAUGUCGCAACGACGAGUUGGAAAUAAGAUGUUAGGGCUCGAGGCGUAAGGUUGGCAAUCAGUAGCUUUGAGACAUGAUUUUCAAAAAAGCUGACUUUUGAGGACAAUGGUAUUUGCAGACAGCUGCAGUCCG